GACAGAGGGUGCAAACGUUGCUCGGAAUCACUGGGCGUAAAGGGCGUGUAGGCGGGUAGAUAAGUCGGGCGUGAAAUCCCUAGGCUCAACCUAGGAACUGCACUCGAAACUGUUUAUCUUGAGUGCCGGAGAGGAAAGCGGAAUUCCUGGUGUAGAGGUGAAAUUUGUAGAUAUCAGGAGGAACACCAGUGGCGAAGGCGGCUCGCUGGGACGUUACUGACGCUGAGA
rnacentral:rRNA from 1 species